rnacentral:rRNA from 1 species
UACGGGGGGGGCAAGCGUUGUUCGGAAUUACUGGGCGUAAAGGGCUCGUAGGCGGCCAACUAAGUCAGACGUGAAAUCCCUCGGCUUAACCGGGGAACUGCGUCUGAUACUGGAUGGCUUGAGAUUGGGAGAGGGAUGCGGAAUUCCAGGUGUAGCGGUGAAAUGCGUAGAUAUCUGGAGGAACACCGGUGGCGAAGGCGGUGAUCUGGGCCGACGACUGACGCUGUAGAGCGAAAGCGUGGGGGAGCGAACAGG